rnacentral:rRNA from 1 species
UAAGCAGGGAGCGAGUGCUACUCGAAAUUACUGGCCGUAAAGAGUGCGCAUGCGGAUGUGUAAGACAGAUGUGAAAUCCCCGGACUCAACCUGCGAACGACUUUUGGGACAUGAACUACCUACACUACGGGCAGAGGAAGGUGUAAUUCCGCGUGUGUCAGAGAAGUGCGUACACAUGUAUAGGAACACCGAUGACUAGAGCAGCCUCCUGCCUCCCUACUGACGGUCAUGGACGAACGCGUGAGAAGGACACUUUCAUUAGAUACUCACUGGUAGGCCACGCCCUACACGAUGUCAACUAGUUGUUCGGUGAGGAGAUUCAGUGAGUAACGCAGGUCACGCGUGAAGCUGACCGCCUGGGGAGUUCGGCCGCAAGGUUAAAACUCAAAGGAAGAGACGGGGCACCUCACAAGCGGUGGAUGAUGUGGAUUAAUUAGAGGCAUCGCGAAAAUCCUUCCCUACCCGUGACAGUCCAGGACCAUUCCAGAGAUGGUUUGGUGCCCGAAAGGGAGCCUCGACACAGGUGCUGCAUGGCUGUCGUCAGCUCGUGUCGCGAGAUGGUGGCAUAAGUCACGCAACGAGCGCAAGCCUGGUGCAUUAGCUAGCCUAGCAUAUAAGUUGGGCACUCUAAUGAGACUCGCCGGUGACAAUCCGGACGAAGGUGGGGAGAGACGUCAAGUCAUCAUGGCCCUUAUGGGUAGGGCUUCACACCUCAUACAAUGGUCGGUACAGAGGGUCCUCAAGCCGCGAGGAGGAGCCAAUCUCCAGAAAGCCGAUCGCAGUCCGGAUCGGAGUAUGCAACUUGACUCCAAGAAGUCGGAAUCGGCAGUAAUCGCAGACCAGCAUUCUGCGGAGAAUACGCUCCCGGGUCA